UAUUAGGUUGGUGCAAAAGUAAUCGUGGUUUUUGCUGUUACUUUUAAUGGCAAAAACCACACUUACUUUUGC
ensembl:miRNA